rnacentral:rRNA from 1 species
GACGAACGCUGGCGGCAGGCCUAACACAUGCAAGUCGAGCGCCCAGCAAUGGGAGCGGCAGACGGGUGAGUAACGCGUGGGGAUGUGCCCAAUGGUGCGGAAUAACCCAGGGAAACUUGGAUUAAUACCGCAUGUGCCCUUCGGGGGAAAGAUUUAUCGCCAUUGGAUCAACCCGCGUCUGAUUAGCUAGUUGGUGAGGUAAAGGCUCACCAAGGCGACGAUCAGUAGCUGGUCUGAGAGGAUGAUCAGCCACACUGGGACUGAGACACGGCCCAGACUCCUACGGGAGGCAGCAGUGGGGAAUAUUGGACAAUGGGCGCAAGCCUGAUCCAGCCAUGCCGCGUGAGUGAUGAAGGCCUUAGGGUUGUAAAGCUCUUUCGCCGGUGAAGAUAAUGACGGUAACCGGAGAAGAAGCCCCGGCUAACUUCGUGCCAGCCGCCGCCGUAA